rnacentral:rRNA from 1 species
ACUCCUACGGGAGGCAGCAGUGGGGAAUAUUGCACAAUGGGCGCAAGCCUGAUGCAGCCAUGCCGCGUGUAUGAAGAAGGCCUUCGGGUUGUAAAGUACUUUCAGCAGUGAGGAAGGUGGGUAUGUUAAUAGCAUACUCAUUUGACGUUAGCUGCAGAAGAAGCACCGGCUAACUCCGUGCCAGCAGCCGCGGUAAUACGGAGGGUGCGAGCGUUAAUCGGAAUUACUGGGCGUAAAGCGCACGCAGGCGGCUUGUUAAGCUAGAGGUGAAAAGCCCCGCGCUCAACGUGGGAACUGCCUUUAGAACUGGCAGGCUAGAGUCUUGGAGAGGGGAGUGGAAUUCCAGGUGUAGCGGUGAAAUGCGUAGAUAUCUGGAGGAACAUCAGUGGCGAAGGCGGCUCCCUGGCCAAAGACUGACGCUCAUGUGCGAAAGUGUGGGUAGCGAAACAGGAUUAGAUACCCUGGUAGGAUAGCGU